rnacentral:rRNA from 1 species
AUUGAACGCUGGCGGCAGGCCUAACACAUGCAAGUCGAGCGGCAGCGGAAGGAAGCUUGCUUCCUUGCCGGCGAGCGGCGGACGGGUGAGUAAGGUAUGGGGAUCUGGCCGAAGGCGGGGGAUAACCACUGGAAACGGUGGCUAAUACCGCAUAAUCUCUAAGGAGCAAAGUGGGGGACCGAAAGGCCUCACACCUUCGGAUGAACCCAUAUGAGAUUAGCUAGUAGGUGGGGUAAAGGCUCACCUAGGCGACGAUCUCUAGCUGGUCUGAGAGGAUGAUCAGCCACACUGGGACUGAGACACGGCCCAGACUCCUACGGGAGGCAGCAGUGGGGAAUAUUGCACAAUGGGCGGAAGCCUGAUGCAGCCAUGCCGCGUGUAUGAAGAAGGCCUUCGGGUUGUAAAGUACUUUCAGUUGUGAGGAAGUAUUUAGGGUGAAUAGCCUUAUAUAUUGACGUUAGCGACAGAAGAAGCACCGGCUAACUCCGUGCCAGCCGCCGCCGUAA